rnacentral:rRNA from 1 species
UACGGGGGGGAGCAAGCGUUGUUCGGAUUUACUGGGCGUAAAGGGCGCGUAGGCGGUAGCACAAGUCAGUUGUGAAAUCUCCGGGCUUAACUCGGAAAGGUCAACUGAUACUGUGCGACUAGAGUGCAGAAGGGGCAACUGGAAUUCUCGGUGUAGCGGUGAAAUGCGUAGAUAUCAGGAGGAACACCGGUGGCGAAGGCGGCAUCCUGGACCGGGCAUUGACGCUGAGCGCGAAGCCAGGGGAGCGAACGG